rnacentral:misc_RNA from 1 species
AUCUAUCAAGCUAGGAUGCUUUUUUGUGCCUCCUGGUUUGGUUUAUUGGGCUUUGCCGUGUCCCUUCAUUGGGGAAUGGCUGGUCUUAAAAGUAUUAGCUGACUCACAUGGGGUUGGGUUUUCUACUUGGCGUGAUAAUAAUCUGACCGCUGAGGAAGCAUCCCUCUGGGAUGCCCAAUUUUCAUGUGGGUCGCUCCUAAUCUGGAGCUUGUAGUAAAGUUCCGUGUUCAA